UCCCUGGUGGUCUGAUGGUUAGGAUUCAGCACUUUCACUGCUGUGGCCCAGGUUCAAUACCUGGGCUGGGAA
rfam:Sus scrofa chromosome 6.